GGGGAUAUAGCUCAGUUGGUAGAGUGCUUGCCUCAAAACAGUAAAACAUAUCCAUAUAGUAACCAUAAAAUAUUAAAUACUAAAAUAAAUUUUAAAUAUUAAAUGUUAAAAUAAUAAUUUACUUAUUAAAAUAGAUUAUUAAGGAAAUGAAAGGUAAGCCAAAGUGGAGAGAAAAUAUUUACAAUACAUAUGUACUCA
rnacentral:tRNA from 1 species